rnacentral:rRNA from 1 species
CACGUAGGGUGCGAGCGUUGUCCGGAAUUAUUGGGCGUAAAGAGCUCGUAGGCGGUGUGUCGCGUCGGCCGUGAAAACCUUCGGCUUAACCGGGGGCUUGCGGUCGAUACGGGCAUCACUUGAGUUCGGCAGGGGAGACUGGAAUUCCUGGUGUAGCGGUGAAAUGCGCAGAUAUCAGGAGGAACACCAAUGGCGAAGGCAGCUCGCUGGGACGGUACUGACGCUGAGACGCGAAAGCGUGGGGAGCAAACAGG